rnacentral:rRNA from 1 species
AAAGCAGUCGUUCUUUGAGUUCAUAUAUUAACUAAUCGAUUAAGAAUGGAGUUGGCUCAACAUCAUUCCAGUCCUUACGACGAUUCAAAGUCUUUGGUUUGGGGAAGUAUGGUGCAAGGAUGAACUAAAGAAAUGACGGAAGGGCAACACCAGGAAUGAGCUGCGCUGAGUUGAGUCAACACGGCCAACCCUCCCAGGUCCAGACAUAGUAGAAUACAGAUGAUGGCUCUUCUUGAUUCUAUGGUGGUGGUGCUGCCGUCUCUUAGUUGGUGGAGUGAUUGUCUGGUUAUUCCGAUAACGAACGAGCCCUAACUGCUAAUUAGUCGUCCCCAUUUUAUGGGACACGACUUCUUAGAGGGACUAUGCAUAUCAAGUGCAUGGAAGUUUGAGGCGGUGGCGGGUGGGAGAUGCCCUUAUAUGUCCUGGGCUGCACGCGUGCUACACUGAUGCAUACAACAAGUGCCUAGCUAGACAUAGUAUGGCAAUCUGGAAUAUGCAUCGUGAUGGGGAUAGAUCUUGCAAUUAUAGAUCUUGAACGAGGAAAUAAAUAGUAAGUGCAAGUCAUCAUCUUGCAUUGAUUAUGUCCCUGCCCUUUGUACACACCCCCGUCGAUCCUACCGAUACCGGGUGAUCCGGUGAACCUGUGGACCCUUGG